UUCCCAUAUUCCAAAAUAAUUUUAAUGUAAAAAUCAAAUACAAGUAUAACAUACACUUAAAAUUAAUAAUCUAUAAGUGUCUCAUCGUUAGACGUCUGCUCGGAGAAGGGAGAGUACGGAGGUUGGUUCCUGGACGCUUGCCGCUUGACCGAUGUUAAGAAUUCGGUGACAAUACCUGGACCCUCUUGAGCUGAAAAAAACACUUUCUCCUGGACAGUACCGUUUGAUGCAAAGGAAAGUGAACAAUAUUUACCUUCAAAUGUUCGUCGUUUUUUUUGCUGGACAAAAUUUCCGUUUUUAUUAUAAUGUUCCCUCUCUCCCUCCCCCCCUUUUUUUUUUUGCAUGCAACAUGGGCUCGCCCCUCAGAAGGAGAGGAAUACCCACUAAAACUCAAUCAAUGAUGUACUGCGGUUCCCGAAUUGGCAUGCUUCUAACAACUCUACUAUCUAUUAUUUCGGGAACCAAGCAGUCCUCGUAGAAUCGCUGUAACGAUGGUAACAUUUUGUCUUUCCAAAAUGUAUCAUCGCGCUCAACAAUCACGUACUUUAUUCCAAGAGGCGUCCACAUUGCAAAAAUACAAUACUUUCUUUGCGUAAUGUGCAGUUGCCCUUGAACUUGGAAAUAGUACGCGUGGUUUUUAUUCAUAUUACUGUCAUCAUUUUUAGCAAAUACGCGGUUAAGACCUGCAACUUUUUUAUCAAUUGCUUCGUUAGGUGACAUUUUACGGGCCGCGUAAGGGCAUUUGAUUUCAUCGUCGCCUACAGUGCCAUCAGGCGUCGCGCCAAAGUAUGAGAAUUCAGCAUCAAUGAACAGCCCACAAUCAUUGAUUUGAAUUCUCAAUAGCUCCUUCAAUUCUUAUCGUAGUAAUUUUUCGUUGUCCUUACCCCAUGCAACAGCAGCACUUCUAAGUUGAGGAGGAUAUAGAAUAUUUUUUACCAAGCUAUUGCAGGAAGUCGUAUCUCGUUUGCAACAUACCUUUCCAAAAUUGGAAGUGGUAAGCAAUGUUUUACGUACGAGAUGCCACUGCGGGUUUUCAUGCUGACCCCGAGUAGUAUACUCCAGUACGUCUCGAGUCUGUUGUUGACUUUGCAACUUUUCAUACAGAUCGAGUUUUAAUUGUUCGAAAAUGUUAUCAUCCAAAUCUGGCCGUUCCGCGUUUGGACCAUAAUCUUUGUCAGCUGAUUGCUUGCGGCCAGAAUACUUGGAUGCACGAACAAUACCACCCAAUUCUUUAGAUACACGCAAAUGCUCUUCACGUUUUCUACUUCGUGCAAUAUUUUUUUCUUCCAGCAUUUCCAUGCGUGCUGGCGGCUCUCUACCCAUUGCACGGCAAGCACCAGUCAUCGGUUUGAAACUAUUACAUUUUACGACUGUUGCUUUUACACGUGCUUGGACAUUUCGGGACUUCGACAAGUCUUCGAGGACCCCCAAACGCAGGCAUACCCCCCACCUGGGCUUCAAGGGGGCUGGCCAAAGGGGACCUGGAGGUGUCGUCGCGAACGCCGUCAGGAUCGUACGUCACUUCUGUUGAAAACGUCAAAUCGUGAAUAGUUUAGCAAAGUGACAUUGAAUAUUGAAGAAUGAGCAGCCUGGAGGAAGUUACAUACGGUCUUGAUAGAUUGACCUUCAGGGAUACUUACAUAAUAGGACAAUAUGGGGUGCCAUAUAUUGUCACACCACUGGGUAUGCCGCAGCCCCCGCUGCCACCACCAGCCUUCGCGCAGCCGCAACGCGAGAAUGUGAGUAACAGGCGGCGGCGGCAGCGCGAUAACAGACGCCGCAGAAGGGCCCCGGCGGAGAAAAUAGUAGUAAGACCACCUGCGAAUCAACGAGGGUCACGGAUAAUCAAAAAUGUCUAUAUUACACAAAAUUUAAAAAAAAAUAAACUAAAAUGAUCAAGUGUAUAUUACCUUAAUUUGUAUUUCCCAUAUACACCCUAGUCCAGAAGUUCCCCUACUUUUUAGAUCCGCAGCUCCCUUAGUAUACAGAUUACACUGACCAACAAAUUUAAACUUUUUUUAAAUUCCGCGAUAUCCAGUAGGUG